GACGAACGCUGGCGGCGUGCCUAAUACAUGCAAGUAGAACGCUGAAGGAGGAGCUUGCUCUUCUGGACGAGUUGCGAACGGGUGAGUAACGCGUAGGUAACCUGCCUGGUAGCGGGGGAUAACUAUUGGAAACGAUAGCUAAUACCGCAUAACAGUAGAUGUUGCAUGACAUUUGCUUAAAAGGUGCAAUUGCACCACUACCAGAUGGACCUGCGUUGUAUUAGCUAGUUGGUGGGGUAACGGCUCACCAAGGCGACGAUACAUAGCCGACCUGAGAGGGUGAUCGGCCACACUGGGACUGAGACACGGCCCAGACUCCUACGGGAGGCAGCAGUAGGGAAUCUUCGGCAAUGGACGGAAGUCUGACCGAGCAACGCCGCGGGAGUGAAGAAGGGUUUCGGAUCGUAAAGCUCUGUUGUAAGAGAAGAACGAGUGUGAGAGUGGAAAGUUCACACUGUGACGGUAUCUUACCAGAAAGGGACGGCUAACUACGUG
rnacentral:rRNA from 1 species